UACGUAGGUGGCAAGCGUUGUCCGGAUUUACUGGGCGUAAAGGGAGCGUAGGUGGAUAUUUAAGUGGGAUGUGAAAUACUCGGGCUUAACCUGGGUGCUGCAUUCCAAACUGGAUGUCUAGAGUGCAGGAGAGGAAAGGAGAAUUCCUAGUGUAGCGGUGAAAUGCGUAGAGAUUAGGAAGAAUACCAGUGGCGAAGGCGCCUUUCUGGACUGUAACUGACACUGAGGCUCGAAAGCGUGGGGAGCAAACAGG
rnacentral:rRNA from 1 species